CAGCAGCCGCGGUAAAACGUAGGGUGCAAGCGUUAAUCGGAAUUACUGGGCGUAAAGCGUGCGCAGGCGGUUAUAUAAGACAGAUGUGAAAUCCCCGGGCUCAACCUGGGAACUGCAUUUGUGACUGUAUAGCUAGAGUACGGCAGAGGGGGAUGGAAUUCCGCGUGUAGCAGUGAAAUGCGUAGAUAUGCGGAGGAACACCGAUGGCGAAGGCAAUCCCCUGGGCCUGUACUGACGCUCAUGCACGAAAGCGUGGGGAGCAAACAGGAUUAGAUACCCGGGUAGUCCCUGUCUCUUAUAC
rnacentral:rRNA from 1 species